rnacentral:rRNA from 1 species
GCCUAACACAUGCAAGUCGAACGAGAUGUCUUUUUUGUUUUCAAAGAAGAAAUUGCAGUGGCGGACGGGUGAGGAACACGUAAGAACUUACCUUUUGGCGGGGGAUAACAACGGGAAACUGUUGCUAAUACCCAAUAAUGCUGUGGAGAGAAAGGGAAACUGCUAAGAGUGAGGCUUGCGUCUGAUUAGCUAGUUGGGGGAGUUCAAGGCUACCCAAGGCGACGAUCAGUAGCGGGUCUGAGAGGAUGAUCAGCCACACUGGGACUGAGACACGGCCCAGACUCCUACGGGAGUGCGCAGUGGGGAAUUUUCCACAAUGGGCGAAAGCCUGAUGGAGCAAUACCGCGUGAGGGAUGAAGGAUCGUGGUUCGUAAACCUCUUUUCUUAAGGAAGAAAUCAAUGACGGUACUUAAGGAAUAAGCACCGGCUAACUCCGUGCCAGCAGCCGCGGUAACAC